rnacentral:rRNA from 1 species
AGUGGCGGACGGGUGAGUAACACGUAGGUAACCUGCCCCGGAGCGGGGGAUAACAUUUGGAAACAGAUGCUAACACCGCAUAACAACAAAAGCCACAUGGCUUUUGUUUGAAAGAUGGCUUUGGCUAUCACUCUGGGAUGGACCUGCGGUGCAUUAGCUAGUUGGUAAGGUAACGGCCUACCAAGGCGAUGAUGCACAGCCGAGUUGAGAGACUGAUCGGCCACAAUGGAACUGAGACACGGUCCAUACUCCUACGGGAGGCAGCAGUAGGGAAUCUUCCACAAUGGGCGCAAGCCUGAUGGAGCAACACCGCGUGAGUGAAGAAGGGUUUCGGCUCGUAAAGCUCUGUUGUUGGAGAAGAACGUGCGUGAGAGUAACUGUUCACGCAGUGACGGUAUCCAACCAGAAAGUCACGGCUAACUACGUGCCAGCAGCCGCGGUAAUACGUAGGUGGCAAGCGUUAUCCGGGUUUAUUGGGCGUAAAGCGAGCGCAGGCGGUUGCUUAGGUCUGAUGUGAAAGCCUUCGGCUUAACCGAAGAAGUGCAUCGGAAACCGGGCAACUUGAGUGCAGAAGAGGACAGUGGAACUCCAUGUGUAGCGGUGGAAUGCGUAGAUAUAUGGAAGAACACCAGUGGCGAAGGCGGCUGUCUGGUCUGCAACUGACGCUGAGGCUCGAAAGCAUGGGUAGCGAACAGGAUUAGAUACCCUGGUAGUCCAUGCCGUAAACGAUGAGUGCUAGGUGU